rnacentral:tRNA from 1 species
GGGGAUGUGGUUCAGUUUUGUAGAGCACUUGCCUGUCUUGCAAGGUGUCCUGGGUUCCAUUCCCAGCACCCA